AUUGAACGCUGGCGGCAUGCCUUACACAUGCAAGUCGAACGGUAACAGGUCUUCGGAUGCUGACGAGUGGCGAACGGGUGAGUAAUACAUCGGAACGUGCCUAGUAGUGGGGGAUAACUACUCGAAAGAGUGGCUAAUACCGCAUGAGAUCUACGGAUGAAAGCAGGGGAUCGCAAGACCUUGUGCUACUAGAGCGGCCGAUGGCAGAUUAGGUAGUUGGUGGGAUAAAAGCUUACCAAGCCGACGAUCUGUAGCUGGUCUGAGAGGACGACCAGCCACACUGGGACUGAGACACGGCACAGACUCCUACGGGAGGCAGAAGUGGGGAAUUUUGGACAAUGGGCGAAAGCCUGCUCCAGCAAUGCCGCGUGCAGGAUGAAGGCCUUCGGGUUGUAAACUGCUUUUGUACGGAACGAAAAGCCCCGGGUUAAUACCCUGGGGUCAUGACGGUACCGUAAGAAUAAGCACCGGCUAACUACGUGCCAGCAGCCGCGGUAA
rnacentral:rRNA from 1 species